rnacentral:rRNA from 1 species
CUACGGGGGGCAGCAGUGGGGAAUAUUGCACAAUGGGCGCAAGCCUGAUGCAGCAACGCCGCGUGAACGAAGAAGGUCUUCGGAUCGUAAAGUUCUUUUCUUAGGGAAGAAAAAUGACGGUACCUAAGGAAUAAGCACCGGCUAAAUACGUGCCAGCAGCCGCGGUAAUACGUAUGGUGCAAGCGUUAUCCGGAAUCACUGGGCGUAAAGGGAGCGUAGGCGGUUUUGCAAGUCAGAAGUGAAAGGCUACGGCUCAACCGUGGUAAGCUUUUGAAACUGCAAGACUAGAGUGCAGGAGAGGCAAGUGGAAUUCCUAGUGUAGAGGUGAAAUUCGUAGAUAUUAGGAGGAACACCAGUGGCGAAGGCGACUUGCUGGACUGUAACUGACGCUGAGGCUCGAAAGCGUGGGGAGCGAACAGGAUUAGAUACCCUGGUAGUC